AAGCGCUUGCAAUCAGACUUGUCUGUAGGAGUUCAACUUGGCUUUUGUCUUGUGUACUCUCCUAUUUACAGGCCAGCAUCAGUUUGGGUGGUAGGAUAAAGACGAUUGGAAAGUAGCUUCUUUUCUUCGGAAUUGAAGUGUUAUAGCCUCCCGUGUCAUACUAUCAACCUGGACUGAGGAACGCACUUUUGUACGGAUGCUGGCGUAAUGGUUGUAAGCGG
rnacentral:rRNA from 1 species